CCCUUAGAUGUUCUGGGCCGCACGCGCGCUACACUGAUGCAUUCAACGAGCCUAUCCUUGACCGACAGGUCCGGGUAAUCUUUGAAUCUGCAUCGUGACGGGGAUAGAUUAUUGCAAUUAUUAAUCUUCAACGAGGAAUGCCUAGUAAGCGUGAUUCAUCAAAUCGCGUUGAUUACGUCCCUGCCCUUUGUACACACCGCCCGUCGCUCCUACCGAUUGAAUGUUCCGGUGAGCUCUUCGGACUGCGCGGUCUGCAGUUUCUGCGUUCCGUGCGGAAAGUUGCGCAAACCUUAACAUUUAGAGGAAGGAGAAGUCGUAACA
rnacentral:rRNA from 1 species